UAACACAAUCCAAAGACACUAUGUUCCCUGAAGCAGUGAAAUCACUGCUUUGCCUCAUAUUUCAGAAUACUUUGACUGUGUUCAGUCAUCUUGCUGUAGCAACUCUUCUCCAAGGGCAACGUAUUUGGUAAGACCCAAGCAGCGCUGCCUGCUCCAUGCAGUCACUCUUCAUGAAAGUCCUCCUGUAAGAAGGGAGGGUCAUGAGCAAGGCCAGCUUUGCAUUAGUUUUGUGGCUCUUUCUACUCAGGCUACCUCUUUACUGCCAGGAGAAUUUAGGCACUAAGAGUCCAAACAAUACAAAAUGACAAUAAUACUCAUUGGUUGUUGGUAUGACCCUCACCAUGUAUCAGACUUCUUAGCAGUGGAAAAGAGCAUGCAGUCACAGAUGUACUAGGCAGGAGAGAAGUGAGCUUUAUUUCAUCUUUUACUUUGACGCAUUCAGAAACACUCAUGGUAAAGCCUCUGAUAUCCCUGCACCUGGCCCAGUUUCCAUUUUAGCCCCCAAAAUAUGUCAAUACUUGGAAAGGUGGCCUCCAAACCAGCAAAGGCUCUCCCAGGUUAGUGCUGUGCAAGCGGAGCUGCGUGCCUGCAUUGAGUCACCUAAGUCAACAGGGCGUGGGUGCACAGCCUAGGCACCCGCCUGGCAUGAGCUCACCUGAGGGCCAUUAUUCUCAGACACCGUGUGUACCCAAUGAUGCACCAUCACAGCAUGUGGAGAGUCACUGCUGAACACUGCCAGACAACAAUCAGUGUAGACUUCACCCAGCAGCCCAGCACACAGCACCAGGAACAGGUGGGCAACUUGUGAAUGCUUCUUCCUAGCAAGCUACGACCUGAUCUGAACAAUUCCAGAUGACGGCGUCAUUGGUCUUUCUUGAAAUUUGGUGAUACCAAGAUUUUGCACGAGCACUUUUUUAGGUCUCAACGCCUUGCACAACAGACGUGCACCUGGGUGAGAAACAAUAGCAGGCAGUAAAACACGUGAGAGCAGCGUGAGGCUCUGAAAGCACAGGC
rnacentral:lncRNA from 1 species